GACGAACGCUGGCGGCGUGCCUAAUACAUGCAAGUCGAACGAAACUGUUUUAACUGGUGCUUGCACCGACUUAAACAACUGAGUGGCGAACGGGUGAGUAACACGUGGGUAACCUGCCCCAAAGCGGGGGAUAACAUUUGGAAACAGACGCUAAUACCGCAUAACCACAGAAACCACAUGGUUUCUGUGUCAAAGAUGGUUUCGGCUAUCACUUUGGGAUGGACCCGCGGCGUAUUAGUUAGUUGGUAAGGUAAUGGCUUACCAAGGCAAUGAUACGUAGCCGGACUGAGAGGUUGAUCGGCCACAUUGGGACUGAGACACGGCCCAAACUCCUACGGGAGGCAGCAGUAGGGAAUCUUCCACAAUGGACGAAAGUCUGAUGGAGCAACGCCGCGUGAGUGAAGAAGGUUUUCGGAUCGUAAAACUCUGUUGUCAGAGAAGAACGUGUGCGAGAGUAACUGCUCGUGCAGUGACGGUAUCUGGCCAGAAAGCCACGGCUAACUACGUGCCAGCCGCCGCCGUAA
rnacentral:rRNA from 1 species